CGUACCUCAUACAGUUCGUAACAUCUGGAAGAGCACGUUUACAAGAAGGCGGCGCUACUGAAAUCUUUGCAGCUUGCAGAGUUAGAACACGUUAACAUUCAACAAUGAUCACGGUAACGCUGCCGGUAGUCCUCCUUUGCAUUGCUGCUUCGUCAACAAUAAACGACCGUUAACGACCACGAAGAGUCAUGACCAUGCUACGGGCCAUCCUCCUCGGCAUCGCUGUUUUCUCUACAAUAUGUGCCCAGCAGUACGCGGGGUUCCUGCUACCUGCGGUGGGGCGCCCGAAAUACAAACCACCUGUCGGGCAUCCAUAUGGAGAAAAAGGGCUGGGUCGCUUCCAGGCUCCAAGAAACCCUAUUCCAUUUCACCCACCAGUUCGAUGCGACUUCGAUUAUGACGCGGACGCACAUGGAUAUUGCGACGCCAUCUGUCGUGCCCAUUACUACAGUGCAGGCCACUGCAAUGGAGACAUAUGCCAAUGUUAGUAAAUAUAGAAGUCACACGUUUUGUACUCAUGUAGAUAUUCUCUUGAAUAAAAUGCUCUUCAGUAAGUGUCACUGUACACGA